CAUUUUGACCUCCUCGUAGGAGUGCGUCUGCCAGGCCAACUGCUGCAGCUCCUCUGAGGUGUACUGACAUGUUUCCAGAUGAGACUUGAUGAUAUUCUGAGCAAUGCGGUCUGGCGGAAAGGAGGAUCCAAGUCCGGUGUAGAUGAAAAUGGCCUCACCAUCUCUGGACAUUCCUAGGGCGAGACACUUCUGAAGGCGGCAGUGUUGGCACCGGUUGCGGUUUGUUCUGUCGAUGAGGCAGUUCCUCUGGCGGGGGCAGGAGUAGGACGCAUUGUUCUGCUGACUCCUUCUGAAGAAUCCCUGAUUACACGUCAACACAAUGCAUGAAGACUGACUCACAGGAGUUUCUCUUAAUGACUGCGACAUGGCAGACCGCACGCACGCUCCCAAGCACACACUCAAACACCUCGGCGACAACGCUGCACUAAUUGUGGCUCUCAUCUCUCGUCUCCCACUUAAAGGAAACACCCCUGCAGUAAAUCUAGCAGCGCUCAUGCUGUGAGUUGUGGCGCAGCUCAAGGCCUGACCCAUUUCCACCCAUUCCCGCCCAACUGUCUUCAAAAUGGCUCAGAGCACGGCACCAGACUGGGACGACGCGGACGACACGUGCGUGGGGGAAGUCGAUGAACGAGGCCCGUGAGGCACUUCUAAGAAACGGAACUCGUCUCAUAAAGCCGAGAGAGGAACGAGCUUUUUCUUCCCGUCCGCUGAUGAUGAAAAACACUGCAAAAACUUCUGCUGCUGUGAUUGCUGAGUGAAUUAAGUCAC